CCUACGGGGGGCAGCAGUGGGGAAUAUUGCACAAUGGGCGAAAGCCUGAUGCAGCCAUGCCGCGUGUGUGAAGAAGGCCUUCGGGUUGUAAAGCACUUUCAGCGGGGAGGAAGGCGUUAAGGUUAAUAACCUUGGCGAUUGACGUUACCCGCAGAAGAAGCACCGGCUAACUCCGUGCCAGCAGCCGCGGUAAUACGGAGGGUGCAAGCGUUAAUCGGAAUUACUGGGCGUAAAGCGCACGCAGGCGGUCUGUCAAGUCGGAUGUGAAAUCCCCGGGCUCAACCUGGGAACUGCAUUCGAAACUGGCAGGCUAGAGUCUUGUAGAGGGGGGUAGAAUUCCAGGUGUAGCGGUGAAAUGCGUAGAGAUCUGGAGGAAUACCGGUGGCGAAGGCGGCCCCCUGGACAAAGACUGACGCUCAGGUGCGAAAGCGUGGGGAGCAAACAGGAUUAGAUACCCCAGUAGUC
rnacentral:rRNA from 1 species